AUACGGAGGGUCCAAGCGUUAUCCGGAAUCAUUGGGUUUAAAGGGUCCGCAGGCGGUCAAUUAAGUCAGAGGUGAAAGCCCAUCGCUCAACGAUGGAACUGCCUUUGAUACUGGUUGACUUGAGUUAUACGGAAGUAGAUAGAAUAAGUAGUGUAGCGGUGAAAUGCAUAGAUAUUACUUAGAAUACCGAUUGCGAAGGCAGUCUACUACGUAUAUAUUGACGCUGAGGGACGAAAGCGUGGGGAGCGAACAGGAUUAGAAACCCUAGUAGUCC
rnacentral:rRNA from 1 species